rnacentral:rRNA from 1 species
UACGUAUGGUGCAAGCGUUGUCCGGAAUUAUUGGGCGUAAAGAGCUCGUAGGCGGUCUGUCGCGGCGGAUGUGAAAACUCGGGGCUCAACCCCGGGCCUGCAUUCGAUACGGGCAGACUAGAGUACGGCAGGGGAGACUGGAAUUCCUGGUGUAGCGGUGAAAUGCGCAGAUAUCAGGAGGAACCCCGGUGGCCACGGCGGGUCUCUGGGCCGAAACUGACGCUGAGGAGCGAAAUCGUGGGGAGCAAACAGG